rnacentral:tRNA from 1 species
GGUAAUGUGGCUUAGUGGUAGAGCAUUUGCUUGUCAUGUGUAAGGCCCUAUCCCUAGCAUUGCCA